GCUCGAGUGGCGAACGGGUGAGUAUUACGUGAGUAACCUGCCCUCAACUGUGGGAUAAGCCUGGGAAACUGGGUCUAAUACUGCAUAUUCUUCUUUCACMRCAUGGUGGGGGUUGGAAAGUUUUUUCGGUUGGGGAUGGGCUCGCGGCCUAUCAGCUUGUUGGUGGGGUGAUGGCCUACCAAGGCGGUGACGGGUAGCCGGCCUGAGAGGGUGGUCGGCCACAUUGGGACUGAGAUACGGCCCAGACUCCUACGGGAGGCAGCAGUGGGGGAUAUUGCACAAUGGGCGCAAGCCUGAUGCAGCGACGCCGCGUGAGGGAUGAAGGCUUUCGGGUUGUAAACCUCUUUCGGUACAGAACAAGGCACGUUUUUUGCGUGUGGAGGGUAUGUGCAGAAGAAGCGCCGGCUAACUACGUGCCAGCAGCCGCGGUAAUACGUAGGGCGCGAGCGUUGUCCGGAAUUAUUGGGCGUAAAGGGCUCGUAGGCGGCUUGUUGCGCCUGCUGUGAAAACGCGGGGCUUAACUCCGCGCGUGCAGUGGGUACGGGCAGGCUUGAGUGUGGUAGGGGUGACUGGAAUUCCAGGUGUAGCGGUGGAAUGCGCAGAUAUCUGGAGGAACACCGAUGGCGAAGGCAGGUCACUGGGCCAUUACUGACGCUGAGGAGCGAAAGCGUGGGUAGCGAACAGGAUUAGAUACCCUGGUAGUCCACGCUGUAAACGUUGGGAACUAGGUGUGGGGCCCUUUUCCGGGGUUCUGCGCCGUAGCUAACGCAUUAAGUUCCCCGCCUGGGGAGUACGGCCGCAAGGCUAAAACUCAAAGGAAUUGACGGGGGCCCGCACAAGCGGCGGAGCAUGCGGAUUAAUUCGAUGCAACGCGAAGAACCUUACCAAGGCUUGACAUACACCGGGAGCAUGCAGAGAUGUGUGUGCCUUUUUGGCUGGUGUACAGGUGGUGCAUGGUUGUCGUCAGCUCGUGUCGUGAGAUGUUGGGUUAAGUCCCGCAACGAGCGCAACCCUUGUCUCGUGUUGCCAGCGCGUUAUGGUGGGGACUCACGAGAGACUGCCGGGGUUAACUCGGAGGAAGGUGGGGAUGACGUCAAAUCAUCAUGCCCCUUAUGUCUUGGGCUUCACGCAUGCUACAAUGGCCGGUACAGUGGGUUGCGAUACUGUGAGGUGGAGCGAAUCUCUGAAAGCCGGUCUCAGUUCGGAUCGGGGUCAUGCAACU
rnacentral:rRNA from 1 species